CUGUACUUGUAAACUGCAUCCACAGCAUACAUCCACGGAUUAAAGCCAGAGCAACUUGAUUCCACAAUUCCUCCUCCUAGCGUAACACAUCGCAGGCAAGGUGUAACAGACCACUUGGAGAGUGUUGCCUGGCCUGACAAAUCUUGAUAAAGAAACCAAAUCUACCUGCAGACCAGCGUUGGCGGAUGAUGACCCGGGAGGCUGCGGUGAUCGUGAUGUUUUGCUCUAAAAAGACACAAAAACAAACACAUUAAAUCAUUUUGCAUGUUUCAGUUUAACCUUCUUCACAUUUUGAAAUGUGUUGUCGGUAAUAACUUUACUCACUGGUGGAAU